rnacentral:tRNA from 1 species
GGAGUUGUAGCUCAGUGGUAGAGCGCUUGCCUCGCAUGUGUGAGGCACUGGGUUUGAUUCUCAGCACCA